AGAGUUUGAUCAUGGCUCAGGACGAACGCUGGCGGCGUGCCUAAUACAUGCAAGUCGAACGAAGCUUUCUUUCGCCGAAUGCUUGCAUUCACCGAAAGAAGCUUAGUGGCGAACGGGUGAGUAACACGUAGGCAACCUGCCCAAAAGAGGGGGAUAACACUUGGAAACAGGUGCUAAUACCGCAUAACCAUGAACACCGCAUGAUGUUCAUGUAAAAGACGGCUUUUACUGUCACUUUUGGAUGGGCCUGCGGCGUAUUAACUUGUUGGUGGGGUAACGGCCUACCAAGGUGAUGAUACGUAGCCGAACUGAGAGGUUGAUCGGCCACAUUGGGACUGAGACACGGCCCAAACUCCUACGGGAGGCAGCAGUAGGGAAUCUUCCACAAUGGACGAAAGUCUGAUGGAGCAACGCCGCGUGAAUGAAGAAGGCCUUCGGGUCGUAAAAUUCUGUUGUCAGAGAAGAACGUGCGUGAGAGUAACUGUUCACGUAUUGACGGUAUCUGACCAGAAAGCCACGGCUAACUACGUGCCAGCAGCCGCGGUAAUACGUAGGUGGCGAGCGUUGUCCGGAUUUAUUGGGCGUAAAGGGAACGCAGGCGGUCUUUUAAGUCUGAUGUGAAAGCCUUCGGCUUAACCGAAGUAGUGCAUUGGAAACUGGAAGACUUGAGUGCAGAAGAGGAGAGUGGAACUCCAUGUGUAGCGGUGAAAUGCGUAGAUAUAUGGAAGAACACCAGUGGCGAAAGCGGCUCUCUGGUCUGUAACUGACGCUGGGGUUCGAAAGCGUGGGUAGCAAACAGGAUUAGAUACCCUGGUAGUCCACGCCGUAAACGAUGAGUGCUAAGUGUUGGAGGGUUCCCGCCCUUCAGUGCUGCAGCUAACGCAUUAAGCACUCCGCCUGGGGAGUACGGUCGCAAGACUGAAACUCAAAGGAAUUGACGGGGGCCCGCACAAGCGGUGGAGCAUGUGGUUUAAUUCGAAGCAACGCGAAGAACCUUACCAGGUCUUGACAUCUUCUGACAAUUCCAGAGAUGGAACGUUCCCUUCGGGGACAGAAUGACAGGUGGUGCAUGGUUGUCGUCAGCUCGUGUCGUGAGAUGUUGGGUUAAGUCCCGCAACGAGCGCAACCCUUAUUGUCAGUUGCCAUCAUUAAGUUGGGCACUCUGGCGAGACUGCCGGUGACAAACCGGAGGAAGGUGGGGAUGACGUCAAAUCAUCAUGCCCCUUAUGACCUGGGCUACACACGUGCUACAAUGGACGGUACAACGAGUCGCUAACUCGCGAGGGCAAGCUAAUCUCUUAAAGCCGUUCUCAGUUCGGAUUGCAGGCUGCAACUCGCCUGCAUGAAGUCGGAAUCGCUAGUAAUCGCGAAUCAGCAUGUCGCGGUGAAUACGUUCCCGGGCCUUGUACACACCGCCCGUCACACCAUGAGAGUUUGUAACACCCAAAGUCGGUGGGGUAACCUUUUGGAGCCAGCCGCCUAAGGUGGGACAGAUGAUUGGGGUGAAGUCGUAACAAGGUA
rnacentral:rRNA from 1 species